rnacentral:misc_RNA from 1 species
UUUUUUUUUUUUUUUUUGUGUAAUGUGGGUUUUUGUGAGGGAUUGAUUUGGAGUUAGGAUACUAAUGAGACGCCGCCCUGCGGCGAGUGUCCCUUUUGAGCAAAUGGAUAAAGGGACUGGCAAAAAUCAGCAGAACCGGCUUUGUUUGUUGGCUUCUCUUUCUGCGUUCUUCUGGAUUCUACUGUUGUAUUUCCAUUUUGUUGUAUUAGGAGGUAAUACUGUUGAUGAAUCUGUUAAAUUAGA